rnacentral:rRNA from 1 species
GUUCUCCUCGAAAUAGCUUUAGGGCUAGCCUCAUAUAAGUCUUGCGGAGGUAGAGCACUGAAUUUCCUAGGGGGCGUCAAAGCUUACCGAAGAAUAUCAAACUCCGAAUGCCGCGUAGAUGGUGUAUGGGAGUCAGACUGCACGAGAUAAGUUGGGUAGUCAAAAGGGAAAGAGCCCAGACCUACAGCUAAGGUCCCAAAGUGUGUGUUAAGUGGAAAAGGAUGUGGGAUUUCGAAGACAACUAGGAUGUUGGCUCAGAAGCAGCCAUACAUUCAAAGAGUGCGUAAUAGCUCACUAGUCGAGAGGUCCUGCGCCGAAAAUGUCCGGGGCUAAAACACAACACCGAAGCUUAGGAAUGUAAUUAUACAUUGGUAGAGGAGCAUUCUUAAAACCGACGAAGCUGUACCGUAAGGAGCAGUGGAGGGAUAAGAAGAGAGAAUGCCGGAAUGAGUAGCGAGAGAAAGGUGGGAAUCCUUUCGGCCGAAUAUCUAAGGUUUCCAGAGUAAAGCUGAUCUGCUCUGGGUAAGUCGGGGCCUAAGGCGAGGUCGAAAGACGUAGUCGAUGGACAACAGGUUGAAAUUCCUGUACCGCAUAUAAACAGAACUGUGGGGACGCAUGUGGAAAGCACGAGCCGGGAAUGGAAAGACCGGUACAAGCGGGGUAGGAGUACAAUAGGCAAAUCCGUUGUAUGAUCCGAAGACGUGAUGUGGAGCGAAAUAAAGUAGCAAAGCGUGUGAGCCAUGUGCCGAGAAAAGCUGCUAUUGUGUAAUGCGUGCCCGUACCGUAAACCGACACAGGUGGAUGAGGAGAGAAUCCUAAGGCCGACGGAAGAAGCAUUGUUAAGGAAUUCGGCAAAAUGACCCCGUAACUUCGGGAGAAGGGGUGCCUGCGAGAGCAGGCCGCAGAGAAUAGGCUCAAGCAACUGUUUAGCAAAAACACAGGUCUAUGCGAAACCGAAAGGUGAGGUAUAUGGGCUGACGCCUGCCCGGUGCUGGAAGGUUAAGAGGAGAGGUUAGCGCAAGCGAAGCUUUGAAUUUAAGCCCCAGUAAACGGCGGCCGUAACUAUAACGGUCCUAAGGUAGCGAAAUUCCUUGUCGGGUAAGUUCCGACCCGCACGAAAGGCGUAAUGAUUUGAGCACUGUCUCGACAAUGCAUCCGGUGAAAUUGAAGUACCAGUGAAGAUGCUGGUUACCUGCGCCAGGACGGAAAGACCCCAUGGAGCUUUACUCCAGCUUGAUACUGGGAUUCGGUACUGCAUGUACAGGAUAGGUGGGAGACGAAGAAGGAUGGACGCCAGUCUGUCCGGAGUCGCUGUUGGGAUACCACCCCUGUAGUACUGGGUUUCUAACCAGUUGCCAUGAACUGGCAAUGGGACAAUGUCAGGCGGGGAGUUUGACUGGGGCGGUCGCCUCCGAAAGGGUAUCGGAGGCGCUCAAAGGUUCCCUCAGAAUGGUUGGAAACCAUUCGAAGAGUGCAAAGGCAGAAGGGAGCUUGACUGCGACACCGACGGGUGGAGCAGGUACGAAAGUAGGACUUAGUGAUCCGGUGGUAUAAAGUGGGAUUGCCAUCGCUCAACGGAUAAAAGCUACCCUGGGGAUAACAGGCUUAUCACUCCCAAGAGUUCACAUCGACGGAGUGGUUUGGCACCUCGAUGUCGGCUCAUCGCAUCCUGGGGCUGUAGCAGGUCCCAAGGGUUGGGCUGUUCGCCCAUUAAAGCGGUACGCGAGCUGGGUUCAGAACGUCGUGAGACAGUUCGGUCCCUAU